AUUCAGCCAAUGGUUGCAUGCAGCCGUCAUUGCAAAUCCCAAAAAAGGUGGAACUUCCAAAAUAAACCCUCGCCCACGACAGGCGGAGCUGCAACACCAGCCCGGGAUUCCUCCCUCCAGCCGAGGCGGAGGAUUCAGCCAGCGACCCUCCCAGGAAGUCGAUGAGAGUCACUGCUGAGGUGGGAACUCCGUAGUCCGGCCAGCUGAGAAGUCAGCUCAAGUUACCUGGUUGUCAUAACAACAACAAGCACAUUUUGCUCCCAGACCAUUCUCCAGAAAUCACCGACGGACCUGAGAGCGUUGUUGACUACAUGUCCAGGACUUUCUUUGGUCACUAUGUGUACCUGCUUUUCCAAAAUAUAUUUUGUGACAUGUUCAUAAGUGGAUUGAUAAAAGUACUGCACCUUAUGUUAACAUUAAACUGAAUACUAAUGUCCCAAACUACA